rnacentral:lncRNA from 1 species
UCACUGGGGUGGGGCUUUUUUUUAUUGGUCUUAGUAAUCUUCCAAAAAGAGAUCAGACUCUGUGCCUGCCAGUGCCUGAAUUCCUCCCUAAGAAUAAAGGUAUAUUUCGAGAAGCACAUGAAUCCUUGCAAGCUUACAGCUACUUAUGAAGCUAUGAAUGCCUCAAUGAUCCUAAACAAAACUUCACCUGCAAGCCUAAGAGCGGGUCCUAGACACAACAAGACUCUGCGAGGAGAGAGAAGAGAGAGGGAGAUGAAGAAGGAGACAGAGAGAGGGAAUUUGCACUCACAAACAGGCAGUGAAACCACUGAGCCAAAUCCCCAGCCCCUCUCCUGUGUUCUUACGUGUGAUGGCUUCACCUUCUGACAAGUCCAAAGAAAGGAAGAAUAAAGGAAAAACAUGCAGAGGUGCGCAGCUUCUGACCGGGGGGAACAGGUCGGUGGUGGAGUUGAGCAGACCCCAUGCCAGCUGCCCUGAAGCCCCGCAGCCUGUCCAUUUGUUUGGGGACCCACCUUGGGCUGCCAGCUCCGAGAUGCUUCCUAGAAGUACAAGGCCUUGUGCAGACGUCAGGAAAUGGGCAGCGAAGUUGCGACCACUUCUGUUUCCACUGGGCAAACAGCACAAGGAGCUUGGAGGAAGCCGGGACCUUCAGGAUGUCCCUGUGCAUGGCCGGUCCCUGGGAUGUUUCAAAGACCUGAAGAAUGAAAGAAGUGCUUCCUUUCCUUUGGCAAAGGAACUUAGCUAUCACCUUAACUGCUUUCAGUUGAUCCAAUACUUGUCAUUUCUUUGUCCUGAG